rnacentral:lncRNA from 1 species
CAUCCAAUUCACUGCAACCGAUUUCUAGUAACCUGUGCAUCUCAUUUCGAUGGAGCCCGCAUCCAACCCAUCCUCUCGCAAGUGAGUCAGCUUCUUCCGCAAGUCCAAGUUCCAUUCACCCAGCGUCCUGUAUUCUUCUCGGCCGUCCGUGAUGAUUCCACCGCGUCCAUCUUGCAUCCAUGAGCCAGCUCUCCUGAGUUCCCAGCAUCUUCGCGUCCUUCCGCAAUGGAACAAGCAAGGAAUCCCAAGUCCCAUGAUCAUCCCGCGAUCACCUCCCACGCGUCCGCCCGCCUCCUCCACUGAUUCCUCACAUCCCAAAUCCCGUGAAUGGUCCCAGCGUCCGCGAAGCACCCGCGAUCAACUCCCUUC